rnacentral:rRNA from 1 species
ACGGGUGAGUAAUGCUUAGGAAUCUGCCUAUUAGUGGGGGACAACAUUCCGAAAGGAAUGCUAAUACCGCAUACGCCCUACGGGGGAAAGCAGGGGAUCUUCGGACCUUGCGCUAAUAGAUGAGCCUAAGUCAGAUUAGCUAGUUGGUGGGGUAAAGGCCUACCAAGGCGACGAUCUGUAGCGGGUCUGAGAGGAUGAUCCGCCACACUGGGACUGAGACACGGCCCAGACUCCUACGGGAGGCAGCAGUGGGGAAUAUUGGACAAUGGGCGAAAGCCUGAUCCAGCCAUGCCGCGUGUGUGAAGAAGGCCUUUUGGUUGUAAAGCACUUUAAGCGAGGAGGAGGCUACUUGGAUUAAUACUCUGGGAUAGUGGACGUUACUCGCAGAAUAAGCACCGGCUAACUCUGUGCCAGCAGCCGCGGUAAUACAGAGGGUGCGAGCGUUAAUCGGAUUUACUGGGCGUAAAGCGUGCGUAGGCGGCUUCUUAAGUCGGAUGUGAAAUCCCUGAGCUUAACUUAGGAAUUGCAUUCGAUACUGGGAAGCUAGAGUAUGGGAGAGGAUGGUAGAAUUCCAGGUGUAGCGGUGAAAUGCGUAGAGAUCUGGAGGAAUACCGAUGGC